GACGUAGGGCGCGAGCGUUGUCCGGAAUUAUUGGGCGUAAAGAGCUCGUAGGCGGUCUGUCGCGUCGGAUGUGAAAAUCCAGGGCUCAACCCUGGACCUGCAUUCGAUACGGGCAGACUAGAGUUCGGUAGGGGAGACUGGAAUUCCUGGUGUAGCGGUGAAAUGCGCAGAUAUCAGGAGGAACACCGGUGGCGAAGGCGGGUCUCUGGGCCGAUAUUGACGCUGAGGAGCGAAAGCGUGGGGAGCAAACAGG
rnacentral:rRNA from 1 species